GAGACCUGACUUUUGGAUUCCAUCUGAAGAGGAACUAAGAAGAUUAGUGCCACCGGAGAAUCCAAGGGCUGGAAUAUGUGAUGAUGUGGUUGACAAGCAAGUACACUCUUAGAGUAUAUCAGGUCUGCUGUCAUGAGAGUAUGCAAGCUGCCCUACAUCAUCUCAGUCGUUUAGGAAUUAAAGAGCUUACUCAGCCCAUGCAUGGGACUUGCUUCUGCAAUGCAUGAGCUUCUUGAUGAAGCAAUUGAGCUCGCUGCUGUAGCACAUAUUGGGAGGGGAUUGCAAAUAACUAACUGGAACCUUGCCAACAAUUUUGUUGUUUUUAAUAAUCAGGUACUUUAAUCUAUGCACGUUCACCAGAUGCCCAAUACCAGCAUCUGCUUGGCAUUACUGAGUUCAGUCAUGGCAUUUAUUGCAAAUAAUUUUGGUUUAUCUUCACCUGUCAAAAAUACCAUCAGCCUGAUUUGUGAUCAUUAGAUCUGCAAAAUGAUAAAACAAAAAUUAGUACCUGUCUCAUGUUUGCCUGUAAAUUUCUAAAGGUAAACUGAAAAAUUAACCG